rnacentral:rRNA from 1 species
AUGGCGACCGGCGCACGGGUGAGUAACGCGUAUCCAACCUGCCCUUUACUAUGGGACAGCCCGUCGAAAGGCGGAUUAAUACCGUAUGUUGUCAUGUUGAUGCAUAUUUUCAUGACCAAAGGCUUCGGCCGGUAAAGGAUGGGGAUGCGUCUGAUUAGCUUGCCGGCGGGGUAACGGCCCACCGGGGCGACGAUCAGUAGGGGUUCUGAGAGGAAGGUCCCCCACAUUGGAACUGUGACACGGUCCAAACUCCUACGGAAGGCAGCAG